UACAGAGGGGGCAAGCGUUGUUCGGAAUUACUGGGCGUAAAGGGCUCGUAGGCGGCCAACUAAGUCGGACGUGAAAUCCCUCGGCUUAACCGGGGAACUGCGUCCGAUACUGGAUGGCUUGAGUUCGGGAGAGGGAUGCGGAAUUCCAGGUGUAGCGGUGAAAUGCGUAGAUAUCAGGAGGAACACCGGUGGCGAAGGCGGGUCUCUGGGCAGUAACUGACGCUGAGGAGCGAAAGCGUGGGGAGCGAACAGG
rnacentral:rRNA from 1 species